rnacentral:rRNA from 1 species
CCUACGGGGGGCUGCAGUGGGGAAUAUUGGACAAUGGGGGGAACCCUGAUCCAGCCAUGCCGCGUGUGUGAAGAAGGCCCUCGGGUUGUAAAGCACUUUCAGUGAGGAAGAACGCCUGGUGGUUAAUACCCAUCAGGAAAGACAUCACUCACAGAAGAAGCACCGGCUAACUCCGUGCCAGCAGCCGCGGUAAUACGGAGGGUGCGAGCGUUAAUCGGAAUUACUGGGCGUAAAGCGCGCGUAGGUGGCUUGAUAAGCCGGUUGUGAAAGCCCCGGGCUCAACCUGGGAACGGCAUCCGGAACUGUCAAGCUAGAGUGCAGGAGAGGAAGGUAGAAUUCCCGGUGUAGCGGUGAAAUGCGUAGAGAUCGGGAGGAAGACCAGUGGCGAAGGGGGCCUUCUGGACUGACACUGACACUGAGGUGCGAAAGCGUGGGUAGCAAACAGGAUUAGAUACCCUAGUAGUC